UGACAAUGGCGACUAUGCCAUAUUUGGAAUGUAGUGACAUUCUGAAAAAUUACCUUAUACGCAACAUUUGCUACGGGUGUGGUGUAUGUGUAGUACAAUCCGGACGACAAAGAAAUUUUUCAAGAAUUUGGUUGCCAUAUCCGUUAUAUUUGUUGGAAUGAGAAAUUCCAAUUUUUGUCAUCGUGGGUUUCAAUAUGAAUCCCAUUUGGACGGAUAUCUCUAUAACUUAUUAAAGUAUAGAGUUCAUGGAGCCGUUGUCCACUAGGCAAAAUUCUUCAUCCAUUUUGGAUUGACUCCCGUAGAAAACUAUAUAUUGAAGAUGAAGAACUUUAAUAGAAAUUCUUAAUAGAUAUAUAGAAUACAUACAAACUUUAUAUAAGUAUCA
rnacentral:lncRNA from 1 species